rnacentral:lncRNA from 1 species
UAAGCUGACCCCUAUUAAAGAGGUGAAGAGGCCAGCUAGGGUUAGGAGAUUGUUUCUUAGAGAAGAAUAAGGAGUUGUAAAGGAAUAGGAGUCUUGAGUAGGAGUCCUAUUAGGAGUUGGUUAGAAGUAGGAGUCUUGAGUAGGAGUCCUAUUAGGAGUUAGGGUUUAGAAGCCCUAUAAAUAGUCAUGUAUUCCUCCUCUUUUGAUAAGCAAUAGAUGAAUCUUUUCUGCAGCCUUUGAGCAACAACUUGGAGGGAGGAACCCCUAUAGAGUUCCAAGGA